GUCUGACCUGCUCACUGACAAGGGUUUAAAGAGCCGCGGUAUUUUGACCGUGCAAAGGUAGCAUAAUCAUUAGCCCCUUAAUUAGGGGAUGGGAUGAAUGGUUUGACGAGGAAUUUUCUGUCUCUUAUUAAUACAUAAAAUUUAACUUUUAAGUUAAAAGGCUUAAAUUUGACUUAAGGACGAGAAGACCCUAUAGAGCUUGAUAUUUUAUUUUUAUAUAAUUUUUAGUUAAUUAUUAUAUUUAACAAAAAUAUUUAGUUGGGGUGACUUGAAGAAUAAUUAAACUCUUCAUUAUGAAUUCAUUAAUUUAUGUUUAUUUGAUCCAUAAUUUGUGAUUAUAAGAUUAAGUUACCUUAGGGAUAACAGCGUAAUUAUUUUUGAGAGCUCAUAUUGACAAAGUAGAUUGCGACCUCGAUGUUGGAUUAAGAAAAAUAUUGGGUGCAGUAACCCAAAAAUUAGGUCUGUUCGACCUUAAAUUCUU
rnacentral:rRNA from 1 species